rnacentral:rRNA from 1 species
UGCAAGUCGAGCGAAUCUGAGGGAGCUUGCUCCCAAAGAUUAGCGGCGGACGGGUGAGUAACACGUGGGCAACCUGCCUGUAAGACUGGGAUAACUUCGGGAAACCGGAGCUAAUACCGGAUAAUCCCUUUCCUCACAUGAGGAAAGGCUGAAAGACGGCGUCUAGCUGUCACUUACAGAUGGGCCCGCGGCGCAUUAGCUAGUUGGUGAGGUAACGGCUCACCAAGGCCACGAUGCGUAGCCGACCUGAGAGGGUGAUCGGCCACACUGGGACUGAGACACGGCCCAGACUCCUACGGGAGGCAGCAGUAGGGAAUCUUCCGCAAUGGACGAAAGUCUGACGGAGCAACGCCGCGUGAGUGAUGAAGGUUUUCGGAUCGUAAAACUCUGUUGUUAGGGAAGAACAAGUAUCGGAGUAACUGCCGGUACCUUGACGGUACCUAACCAGAAAGCCACGGCUAACUACGUGCCAGCAGCCGCGGUAAUACGUAGGUGGCAAGCGUUGUCCGGAAUUAUUGGGCGUAAAGCGCGCGCAGGUGGUUCCUUAAGUCUGAUGUGAAAGCCCACGGCUCAACCGUGGAGGGUCAUUGGAAACUGGGGAACUUGAGUGCAGAAGAGGAAAGUGGAAUUCCAAGUGUAGCGGUGAAAUGCGUAGAGAUUUGGAGGAACACCAGUGGCGAAGGCGACUUUCUGGUCUGUAACUGACACUGAGGCGCGAAAGCGUGGGGAGCGAACAGGAUUAGAUACCCUGGUAGUCCACGCCGUAAACGAUGAGUGCUAAGUGUUAGAGGGUUUCCGCCCUUUAGUGCUGCAGCAAACGCAUUAAGCACUCCGCCUGGGGAGUACGACCGCAAGGUUGAAACUCAAAGGAAUUGACGGGGGCCCGCACAAGCGGUGGAGCAUGUGGUUUAAUUCGAAGCAACGCGAAGAACCUUACCAGGUCUUGACAUCCUCUGACAAUCCUAGAGAUAGGACGUU